ensembl:lncRNA
AUUCCAAAAUUAGAUCGUCACAUUUCCUCAUGAAGCUUCUGGUGCAAGGAGGCAUUUGAGGUUUUGCAGUCUGAAGGUGCCUGUUCCAGUAGAUGACCCGUGCUGUCAUGCACACUAUCCCAAACCAGUUGGACAGUGGCAAACUUUAAAAAGUCAAUGCAUGUCUUAACUACUGUCCUGUGCCCCUCAGUUUGUGCAUUCUGACACUUGCUUGAUGUUGCUGAGUACUACUGGCUUAAGAUACCAUUUAAUCCAUGACUUGCACGCUGCAUUCUUGUUUGAACUAAUAGCUGUUAAACUAAAAAAGUUAUUUUAAGAAUGGGCUUGUCAAAGAGAGUGUAUCUUCUCUCUUCAAAGACCUCUGAGAUUUUUUUUGAUUAAAAUGUGACUGCAGCAUUAAAAUGGAUGCCCUAUGUCUUUUCAUAAAUGGAUGACUAAUGAAGUUGUGGACUGUCUAGGUUUUAAUUGGCAGAUUGAGUGCUUCAUGGGGAAUUGUAGGAGAGGUGAGGAGUUAGUUGAUUUUUAGAUAAAUUUGUUACUGCUUUUAUUUCUAGUGAUGGCUUGAAGUUGAUUAAAUCCCCGAAUAGAUCCACAGAUGCAUUUUUAAAUUCUCUUCUGCGAAAUGUGAAAGAUGGUAUGCUUAAAAACAUGUAGUAAAACCCCGGGCUUGAGGUGGGCGGCCCCACAUGAAAAACAGGAUGUUAGGCUUGUGGUUAUCUCAGCUGUGGCUAUGCUCAUGACCUGUACAGCUGCUGCACCAGCCUUUUCCUCUAUUUGUCUGCUUAUUUCUUCAUGAGCUCCAGUGAAUGACUGCUAAUAAAAUCUGAUCUCAAAAGGGUUUGGAGUCCAAAUGCCUGCCUGUUGUUAUAUUCUGAUGGAUCAUAAGUACAGCCAAAUCUAUAGAUGUGCUUAUAUUCUCUAUGGAAGAUUCUAGGACAGUGCAGGGAGGAAAAAGAGUGGAUAGACAUACUGUGAACUUACCCUAAUGCACUACUGGAACUCUUCAGUGCUGUAUCAGUCUACGGGAAAAGACCGUGGCAUCAGGGCAUUAGAACAGAGAAAGAAGCAUUGUAAAUACCGACAGUAUAUGUCUGAACUUCUUACUCCUCCUUAUGGUGUUAUGGAAACUGGCUCCAACAAUGACAGAAUGCCAGAUAAGGACAGUAUGUCAAGCGGUGCUCUUUGCCAAGUUUCUAAAAACUGUAAUAAGGUAAACAGAUCUUAUUUUUGCCUUUGGAUUUUGAUGUGAGGCUUUUGGUAAUGGCAUUGAGAAGUCCAAGGUAAAAAUGCAAAGCAUGUGGCUGAUGCGUGUGAUUACAAUAUACAACUUAUAAGGAUGUUUUAGAUGUAUUAUAAAACUGGAGAAAGCAAAAGGAACAUCUGUGGAAGUUUGUGUCACAUUCUGAUUGUCAUCUGCCUGUAAAGAAGGUAGGUGCUGAAGGCAAGGAAGAAAGACAUCUUGGUGAUAAGACCAGAACAUAGCUAUGAUAUUUUAUUAUGAUAAUAAAAUUCAUAGUUAAGUUCUGUUUUGAGGCUAUACUGAGUCUAACAUGGACACAGUUCAAGCCCUUUGCACAGGGUGAAUCUUCUACUGUAUUAGGAGUGCAGCUGUAUUUCCCAGUUCCCCUUUAUAAACAGUUCUGUGCCUUUGGUCUCACCAGAUCAGGACUCCCAUGAAAGAACUUGUGAAUAUUACUGUGCUGACAUUCUGUAAUUAUACUAGUGGGAAGAAACAGUAUUGGACAUUGCUGUGAAGAUUGUUAACUUUUAGGGUUUAUUUUAUAGAGAGAGUAGGAAGGUUAUAGUAAUACACAGUUCCUUGGAUGCCUCCUUUCUGGAUAAAAGGAGUUUAAUUGGAUGCAUUUGUGUGAUGUCUAUAAAAGGUAAAAGGAUUUUUUUUGUCAUAUAAAACGUCUCUCUUGACAGCAGAUAAAGACAAUAUUUUAUCAUGUUUCCCUCAUGUGAAAAUAACUACUUCCACCUCUGUCUGUCUGUCCUACUUCCUUGAGGGUACUGACCUUUCUUGUCAUAUUUAGCCUUUAAUAAAUGUAUAAAUGAAACAGUAUGCAGUUCCUUUUGCUUGUCUUAUUCACUAAUGUUCUACUGCUUCCUGACACAACCUUACCCUUUAUGAAAAUAAGUAUUCUUCCAUGUUUUAAGUAAUAAUUCAUAGAUACUUUUGUAUCUCUUACUCUGUAAGCAUCUUACAAAGAUUUGAAAUGUCAGUGUCGUAUAGGAGUACUUGCAACGCUGUACAUGAGAGUUAAGACCCCUCAACAAAAGCAUCAAGUGUAGUAUCCAAACUGAAAGAUGUGUUAUUUUCUGAAGCAGGUAGAGCUAACAAGUUAAAUACAUCCUAGUCCUUCCUAGGUGGUAUUCCCCAAGUAAUGGGCAGUAAUAUUUGGCUAAGGAGCAUAUGGACUUUCAGGGUCAGAAUAUUUUAGAAACUGAGCAAAGUAUUGUGAUUAUCACUGCUGCUGAUAGCUGUGCUUUUCAGGCAGAAGUGGACUCUUCGCGUACAAAGUAAUGCUCAAUUGUAUUGGAGACAGAACUUGACUGGGGCACCUUAAAUUGUUCAAUCUCUUUUACAGGAAUAAGGUAGCUUCUCUUCCCAGACACAUAAAACAGCCAUCCUUCUCCCUCCCACGCUCUGUAGACAUUUCAGUGGAGAGAAGCUGAGAGAGUGAAUAUGUGACAGAUGCUUGUCACCUUGUUUUGUCCUGGAGGAGCUCAGACAGUCCCAUGACAAAUGUAGCAGUACCUACACAGCAUAGAAAUAGUUCUUGAAUCCUAGUUCUGUGUUUUUGCCAUAUGUCCCUAGUUCUCUCUAAUUCUGUUAAAUGAAAGGCAAGUACAACAGAAGUAAAUACUUAAGUAUUUUCUGCAUGCAAGCUUCUUUCCUGCAAUUUAAAAUAGUAUAACUGUUACAGCAUUACACGUGUAGAUCAUUGUGUCCUGCUGUCAGUUUUGAAUGAUCAGAGAAAAACUAUGAUUGCAGAGCCAAAUUCCCAGAAGUGUUACCAGCUAUUUGAAAUACAAAGCAACAAGCUACCAGAACACAGUCUGUGUUCAUAUGUUUUAUGUUUUGUACAUUCUACUGUGAUACGUGGCUGCAGAAAUUGCUAAUGCGUCAGGGACAGACAUUCAGUCAGGGAAGUGGUAGUGUUUGCAGAAUAUCUUUGAAUUCCUUUGUCUUAUUAUUGCUGGAAUGAUGCUUGUAGGACUGGUAGCCAAGGGUGAGGCCUGCAAGCUGCUCCGUAAUGGCCUGACAGACUGAGCAAGGGACUUUCUGAAAUUCAGAGAAAGUUUCUCAAAGUCUUUUAUGUGGCAAGAAGACAUUACAGGCUUAGAAGGAGAUAACAUCACUUGUUCAGUAGUUCUAAUCUUAAUGAUACAUUUAUAUCUGUUUCUCUGGUUUAGUUUUGCAGGGAAAUAAGUAACUAUAAAUAAUUUAAUUCAAAUAAAAUCAAAUGUAUUCCACUCUUGAUAUAGAAAAAUGCAUGCUUUUCUGUUUUAGCUUCUGCUGAGCCAUUUUUAAGGACUAUUAUAGUUUAUUUUCCAUGUUUGCUAAUUAUUUGGGUUUCAUCUUCAUAGCUUUAUUUUUUUCUCUUAACACAUCUCUUAUUUUUUGAUGAGUAACACAAGAUUUUUCUUUUAAUGUAUGCCUUGAAAUUUUCUCACCAUAUGGGGAUGUUUGCUUUCUCUAGUUCAUUAAAAUCUAUUAAAAAGAAUUCUGUUUGGAGAAGGCAGCAAAGAGAUUUUCUAACACCAAACAAGAAUUAAUUUGCAUUUAGGAUUACAUUAUUGAGCAUCACUUAAUACAAUGUAGCAGUUAAAUUGAGCAUAAAAUACAUGGAAUAUGUUAUACUCUCCAGUUACAUUUUGAGAAAUGGAAACAAAAUCAAAUUUAAGCCAUCUUAAAUAAGGAAAAACAAUACAGCAUCUGUCUUUUUAACUAGUCAGUCUGAUAUCAGUGCAAUGGUCUCACUAGCUCCAGUUUUUGAACCUUCUGAUGAAAUAGAUUGGGAUGUAACUGGAUCUACCAGGUGAUUAUAACCAUAAAGCCAAAAUGACAAAAUCAAUAAUAAUUUCAAAUACAUCUUUGGAAAAGAUACAGAAGAGUACUUAAAAGACAGGGGAGGUCGGGCUCCAGUGAGCAGACAGAAUAGGUAGUGGUUCUGUCUCCAUAUAUUACCAGCAGAGCUGGCAGCAGGGUUGCAUGGUGGUUCCCACUACGAGAUCUUGUUUUUACAAUUUGGCCAGUUUCUCACUGCUUAGGCUGAAUUUUUUCAUGCUGAGAGUUUGCUCUGGCUGAUUUUUAAGUGGAAAUAUAUCAAACCUCUCUGACAUUGAGGUUGGGGGGAAAUGCAUACUGCAGGUUAAAUAGCUUUUCCCAGUGAUACUCUGACAAUCCUGUCCUGUUGACUAAGAGCUUGACAUUUAGGGCUUGUUCUGACAGGAAGGAGUGCUAUUGGUGACUCUACAAAAUAAGCCAUCUUAUUAUGCCUUGAAAAACAUCUUUUGAAACGGACUAAUUAGGGGCACAUGAAAGUUUUUGCAUGGAGGCUGUGUGCCUUGCAUGCAGAAUUCCCGAACUACGCCUUUGGUCCUGCACUGCUUGGGAAUUACUGUGUCCAUGAUGAACAGUAUGUUUUUUGUUGCAGUGGCUGAUUCUAGUUGCUAGAGUAACAUUUUGAGUUACAACCAGAGACUUAACUAAGAAUGAUCCUUGUCUCCCCUGUAC